CACGCCUGCGCGGCCCCGCCUGUGGCGGCGCACGGCCGGGAGGCGGGGUCGCCGCGCUAUCCGCGCCUGCCGGGACUGUGGGAAUGAAGAAGCAAAAGGCAAGAAAGUUGCAGGACACACACAGCCCUUAAAGCAGCAUAGCAGUACCACUCCUUUGGGAAAGGAAGGCAUUCCAAACUGGGGUAUCAGUAAAGUACCACUACUGCUGGCUGGAGAGAGGGAGAAUCUGAAGGGGUCUGGGUUUAUGGAUGAUUCACAAAAACCAUAAACCUUCUCCCCAUCUAUUGAUUGGAAAAAAUUUGGAAACAGAACUGUUUCUUGGAAAAGCAGGGUUUUCAAAAGCAAAAGUUUUCACAGGAAUGUACCACUUUUUUUUUUGCCAAGCAAAAAAAGUCCUAUGUUCAGAAAUUUAUGGAAAAGGACAAAGGAGAGGAAAGACACUGGGAUCAAUCUCAGAAUAUCAUGAAGGUAGAGUACUUGCACAAAUAUGAGAGACCAUUCUAAGACCUCUUUGAAGGAACAGUUAAUUAUUUCUAGAUUAUUCUACCAUGAGACACCCUUCUCCUUAGAGUCUGGUGUAGAGCCCUGUCUUGUGGCAUGGGAAUAUUGACUUACUCCUAGAUCUUCCUUCUUAGGGGGUGAAGAAUUAAUAUAACUAAAUAUUGUAUUAAUUCAAACUCAAAGACUACAAUGGCUUAAGGAAGAAAACUGGGAUUGAAGAGGAUCUCAAUAGAUCAUGUAUUCCACUCCCUGCACUGAGCACAAGAAGUGGACUGGAUUAUAGAAAUUUGGAGCAGGGACGUGUUUAUGUGGUAUCCCUCUUCUUUCUCUUUUUGGAAGAAAAAUGUAACUUAGAGUAAAGAAAAAGAGUAAAAAGGAAGAUUGUCAUUUGUACCAACUCUCCAGAAUUAAUGCUCAUGAAACUGAACUCAUAGAUUUUUUUCCUUUUGUUAUCUUUGAUUUCUCAUCAGAACAUCUGACUAUAGUAUUUAAUCAGAAAUCCUGAGUGUGUCAAGAAGUGUACAUGAAAUCAUGACAGAAUUAUUGGUGUUUUCCGUCCCAAAGCAUCCAUCAGUAGCAGUGUUCUCUAGUCUCCCAAUAUGUAAAGGUCUACUCUAUUCCUGAAGUUUCCAGAUCAGCACUAAGUCUUGUGAAACUAAAACAUCAGAAGACAUCUGAUCUCAAAAGGAUCCUAAUUUCUUCUUGUACCAAAUACCUUCCUUAGACAUUUGGAUUUAGUAGCCAUGCCAUGUUUUGGCAUUGAGGGUUGCUGGCCUCCAUGUUCUCCUGCUUUCUGCUUUACCUGUACAAACACCAGGAAACCAUCCAGCUGUAGAGCGUUCCAGGGCUGGUGAGACUUUUGUCCUGCUCAGCAGCGCAGACAUCAUGCAAGUUCCUUCUCAUCAUUCGUGUAGGAUGGAGAAGUCCAAAGACAUAGAAAUUCCAUGUCACCUCUUGCCUCCAUGGAGCUAGUCCCAAAAUUCCUGAAACCUGCGUCCCAAGGAAUUCUUAACCCAUAGCAAAAUACAGGUUCCUUCCUAGAUGUGUGUUGCGGUGCUGUCAUCUAGUGGCAAGGAUGAAUUGGAUGUCAUUCAGUGACAGUGGAUGACAAGGUGUCCCUUUGCUGGAACAAAAUGCCUGAUGUUAGAGUUCACAGCUUCGUAGGUGCAGCCCCAAGGCAAAGGUCCCAUCCUUGGUUUGUGCUCUGCAGGAAAUCACUGCAGAGAGCCUGUGGAAUGGGCUGAGCAAUGGACAUCUAGUUGCAGACAACAGGCUGUAAAACACCAUAGCAUCUCCUGCCAUGUCCUUCCUCUCCAUCUCCUGUCAUCCAUCUUGGCUGUUAACUGUUUGCAAAUACUUGAAGCUGAAUUUCCAGCAGUGAUUGAUAGUUUCUUAACAAAAGCCAUUUGGAGCAGUGUCAGCUAAUGAAAUGAGUCAUUAAAUCUAUAAUAAUCUAAGCUCAAGAAGAUACUUCUCUCAGCAAAAAAGUCCUUCCUCCUGCAUUCAUUUUUUAAUUGACUCGGGGAAAAAUUAAAAGUGCCACAAUGAAGUUUUCCAGGAGAAACCAGACAAAACCAGCUUUCAGAAUGACCCACAUUUGGUUUGGUGUUUGGAAAGCUCACUGAUGUCAGCAGACAGAGUUACUGACAUCAAUUUCUGAGGGCUUUUAUUCAGAUUGGGAAUUUCAUAUGGCAGGUGAUGUUACACUUCCUUGUGCUGGGUUGGCAACAUUAUUAUUAACACAUGUAAACAUUUACAGUUCUGAGUUUAUUUUAACACUUAAAUUGCAAUGCUUGAUUUAAUGUCUUGCAUUAAUGUCUGUAAAAUUAUUAUAAAAUUAUGCAGAAAGUAAUAACCUUUAACAAUAUAACUGGCCACAACAUCUAUGACACCUCCUUGGCAUCACCUGCUGAACACUGCUGGGCUUGUCUGGAUUAAGCAAAACAGUUGUAGUUUAUUCUUUGCUCCUUGAAAUGCUGAUCCCAAAACCAUUUUGACAGGAACCCUGACAGCUGCUUUUUAGAACUUACCACCACAGAGGUGGGGUCUUCAUAGAUAUCAGACUUUGGAAAGAAAAGCUCAAGAAGCAAUCUGCACUGCAAAGCACCAUUGUAUAAAAUCUUCUUUCAUCCCUGCUACAUGAAGUCAACAAAUAAUCCUAAAAUUCCUUUUCAUGAGGAAGUUGGAAUUUGUGUUUAUAUUUCCAUCUUACAGUACAAAUUGUGCUCUAUCUCUAAAUUUAGAAUGAUUCCUCAAUUCAGCCAAGUACAAUAAAUCUCCAAGCAAAGAGAAGGAUGUGCUGAUGUUCUUUAGUGACAAGGGAUAUUUAAGCACAUUCUUAAAUAACUUCUCUCUCUGAAGUCUUCAGUAGAUUCUCAAAGGAGUGAAAGAAUGAUGCUCUAAUUGCGACCUUUCUUGUUUUGUCCAAGUCCCAGACCUCUAUCCCUAUAGUAAAGAAAAAUAUUAAUGAAGGUAAGAAACAUUCUGUUUUUCAAAUUUUUAUAAUUAGUCAGGGGCAGUAUAUCAAUGACCUUCUGUAUUGGAGUGUGAUAAGACGUUUCUCUGUAAGUUCCAGAAGAGGGUUGGUUUAUUUUUUGCUCAGAAUUUCAUUUUCCUUGGGUGCCUUAUAGAAACAAAAUUGCAUCUUUUUAAUUAGGAAAUUGAAUGACAAGCUGUAACAAGAUCAAUCAGGUUGAAAUAGCUGCAUGCUUAGUAUAAUGUAACUGCUUCUUUUAUUGACUUAUAAUAUCUUGAUAUAGUAAAUUUUAUAUAUGAAUAAAGUUUUUUAAAAAUAGAAGGUUUAGGUCAAAUACAAUGAGUGAAAGUGUAUGUGCUUGUAUAAAAAAAGGAAGGCUAGGCCUUCAUACAGAAAUAGAAAAAAAUACCAACUCUUUGUUAGCAACAGUUAAGAAUGAUUUAACAGGUAUACUCAAAAAAUAAAAGUGGAAAAGAUGUCUCAAGCAUUCCAGUGUCACCUUGAAACAGUUGGUCAGGGCAUUUUUGACAAUGACACUUGAAAUAAGAUUGGGUUAAAAGCAGUAUGUGAAGAAAGAUGAGAGCUGCCAUUCACUGCCAGGGUAACUACAAUUCUAUUUCACUACUGAAUGUUGCUUUUCAUGAAUAACCAUUUGCACAUAUGCUUUACCCUUUUAGCAGCCAUUCUUUAUAUGUUCCAAUUUCUUUGAGAGGAGGAUGUUUGUGUCUGUUCACAAAUCUAAACCAUGCUCAAGGUCUGUGUUCGGGUUGUUCACAAUCCCUACACAAACAGGCAGAGAUUGGCAGCUCUGACACGGGAUGGAGGAAUGUCUUGUGAACCCUUAUUUUUCUUCACUUAUAAAUUUCUAAUUUCCGCUUCGGAGUGACAAAGGGCAAAAAGAUGCAAGGAUAUCUUGAGUUUGACUCCAUUGUUUCUCCAUUUGAUUACCUGUGGAAAUAAAAGCAUAAUCAUUCCAUGUACUGUCAUAAUCAUCUCUCAGCCUCCUACUUGCACAUUUAUUUCUAUUUGUCUAAGCAUGGGAAAAGGCCCAUAGAAUUCUAUCCUUGCUGAUUAUAUUUUCGUAUUGAUAAUCCUUGUUUUGACUUAAUUCUUUCUGAAGAUGCUCUUAAAAUGCAGAUCUCAGAUAGUGUUACUUGCUGUAUGAGGCAGCUUUCAAGUUGUCUUUCCAUUUUACCUCUUUCUGAGCAUACAGGAGAUUUUUUUUUUCCAAUUCUUUUCAGUUCCAGAACAGACAUUAAAACUUCUUUUAUUCAUAAACAUAUUCAGCUUGGGCUUUGCAAACUUUCAGUCUUUGUCCUACAAGAACAUCACCACAGAACUUUUCAUGUUAUCUAUGCAUUUAGGUACCAUUGAGCUCAUAUAAUGGAUCUCUUAAAAUGUAUUCAUGAUGAGGAUGGAUUAUUUUUAGUACUUGGAAGAAAAAAAUUAUAUCUAUAUGUGUGUGUGUGUGUGUGUGUGUGUUUGUGUGUGUGUGUGUGAAAAUACUGUCUACUUCACAUACUCGAAUUUGGUUAAAUUCCAAGAAAAUUGAAUUUUCAUAUAUAUCGUUUCCUUUAUUAGAUGAGUGUGCAUUCCUACACCCACAGAGAAUCUGUACAAAUUCAUGUUAUGUUCCUUGGGUGUGCAAACAAUACCAAAAAAUAGUCAAAGUUAGCAUAUUCUAUAUAAAACACGUUUGCAUCUGCUACGCACAGCUUCCUACGCUCUUCAUCUUUAAUUUAGCAAUGGCUGGAUGAUGAAGUCAUCGAGCCUUAGGAAUGUGCUCAGGUCAGGGUCUGAAGCUUUAUACUUCAUCCAAAUACCAUUUGGUUUGGCCCCUUUUACUGAGAUGCAAUCUAUCGUGCUACAGAAGAUUUAAGUGAGCACCCUCAAUAAAUCAAGCUGAAAUGAAUUUUCCACUAUGAAUUAUGUUGCAGACAGCUGCAAAAGCUACAUGACUGGCUUUUUUUUUUUUUUUUUUUGUAAGUUUGAGGCCAAAUCAUGAGAUUAAGGAUUGAGCUAAGGUUUGUGGUUGUAGAAAGGAAUCCAAAAAGAUUUUGCAUGCAUUAAUAUCUCUGAUGAGAACUGAAUCUACACAAAUACUUUGUUUCAUUGCCUUUGACAAUAGCUACAGAAAACACUCUUCUGUCUGAGCCUAUGAUUUGUGCAUACUUAAUGCAAGUCUGUCUUUGUAAGUAACAAGGCUUUUUACUUCAGCAAUCGAUCUGGGCUGGUUCCAUAGCCAGAGUUAAUUCUGGUCCAUGCCACCAUGAAGGCUGUGCUGUGGGUGACUAAGAUUCUAUUGCUCUGAAAGGCUGAUGAAAAUAUGGAGCAAAAUUUUUUACUCAGAGUAAUUAAGUGUAGCAGUAUUGACUUUUUGAAAGUUAUUGUAAGCUACCACAGCCAAGGAAAUGGCUCCAACUUUCCAUCACACUGUUUUUAUUUUGCUGUGGCUUCCAUGACUUUCAGCAGCCUCUUUCCAGUUACUGGAGGAAGAUGACAGCAUCCAGCAUUUCUUAUGGAAGCAUUUCAACUUAGACAGUGACAAUGUCUCCCAGUGUAUCAAAGAGCCCAGCUUAAACAAAUGACUAAUUUAUCCUGGAGAGUUCUGAAAAAAGGACACAGCUUCUGGGUGGAAUUUUUUAGAAGGCAAAUUCCUUCUGGAGUUUUCUCCAUCUUUCCUGACAGAUCAGAAAGCUGCAAGUAGAGAUUUCCAUUGCUGCAGCAAGAAAAUAGAAGGAUUCCAUCUCUUGGUAUCAAAGUAACCCAGCACAGGUGGUGUGCUCACUGCCAAAUACUCAGAGCUCUACAACAUCAACUGGAAGGAACAAAUCAUUAAUAUAGGAACCUUGUAACAUGCCAACAUACUCAAGGCUAUAAACAGGACAAUCAGUUGUGCCACCUUUGAAUUUGCAACACAAAAUCCCAAGUCAGGAAAUUACUUAAGUUUGGAACUUACAGGCAUGUGCUGAAGAUAAAGAGGGCAUAGCAUUAGACACAUAAAUAAUUUGAACAUUCCCCCCUCAGACAUGAAAACUUAUCAAUUCUCACUGUGAUUAUAUCUGGGGGUUGGUUGGGGUUUUUUCCAAGCACAUAUUGAAAUACAGGUCACUGUAUCAGGUACCCUGGUUGUGAACACCGCAAUUGGAUAAGGAAAAAAGAACCCACAAACGGCUGAGAAGUGGAUCAGUAUUGUUUGUCUAUUGCAAUGAAGUCGUGUACUUCAGCAUCAGUCAAAAUUUGCGUUUUUCUGCAUUGUAACAGACAACCAUUUAGUAGGCAUUUGCCAGCAAGUGUGACUUGCUAAUGCAAGAUUCCUGUAUUAAUUUAAUGGGAAUAUAAUUGUGUUGUAAAAGACAUAAUCUCAAGUAACCUACUAUGACAUUUACACUUGAUUACCAUAUCAAUGCAUGCAGAUACCUUUGCAUUACAGAUAUCUUUGGAGGUGUUCCUUGAAAAGUGCACAGACUAUGCAGUGUGCUGUAUUUCAAGCAAAGUCUCCACUAGGAAGGAGUUGAGGUGGUGUUGGCUUUUUGGUUAUAAAUUUGCCCACGGAGGGGAACCCUGGGCUGCCUGUACCUGUCUGGAUGCUGCUGAGCCAUUCCCCAGCUUCAAUCCAUGUGCAGGGCUUGUCUAUUAACAGCUCAUUGAAUGGAGGAGGGAGAAGAAGCUAGUGAGACCUCUCUUGGUAUUGUUCAGCAGUGACCCCGUCUCUCUCGGAUUGGUGGCCAGUGCUCGCUGAGCAGCGUUUGUCAGGACGUGUUGUUUUGCUGGAUAAUGGGGUAUUGUGUGAGCAGCCGUCUGGAUUAGCAGCAGGUAACAAUAAGCUG